rnacentral:rRNA from 1 species
UAGCUAUGCGAGUCGCGAGGGUUCGGCCCUCGGCUGACGGCUCAGUAACACGNNGGANAAUCUGCCCUUAGGUGGAGGAUAACCUCGGGAAACUGCAUUAAUAAGACUCCAUAGAUCUAGGAGGCUGGAAUGCACUUAGAUCAAAAACUUCGGUGCCUAAGGAUGAGUCUGCGGACUAUCAGGUAGUAGUCAGGGUAAUGACCUGACCAGCCUAUGACGGAUACGGGUUGUGAGAGCAAUAACCCGGAGAUGAUAUCUGAGACACGAUAUCAGGCCCUACGGGGCGCAGCAGGCGCGAAAACUUCACACUGUGCGAAAGCACGAUGAGGGAAUCCCAAGUGCUGGCUCGUAAGAGUCAGCUGUUUUUCUGUCUAGAAAACAGAGAGAGUAAGAGCUGGGUAAGACGGGUGCCAGCCGCCGCGGUAAUACCUGCAGCUCAAGUGGUGGCCGCUAUUAUUGGGCCUAAAACGUUCGUAGCCGGUCUAGUAAAUGCCUGGGUAAAUCGUACGGCUUAACCGUACGAAUUCCGGGUAGACUGCUGGACUUGGGACUGGGAGAGGCUAGAGGUACUCCUGGGGUAGAGGUGAAAUUCUGUAAUCCUAGGGGGACGACCAGUGGCGAAGGCGUCUAGCUAGAACAGGUCUGACGGUGAGGAACGAAGCCCUGGGGCGCAAACGGGAUUAGAUACCCCGGUAGUCCAGGGUGUAAACGCUGCUUGCUUGAUGUUAGUCGGGCUCCGAGCCCGAUUAGUGUCGGAGAGAAGUUGUUAAGCAAGCUGCCUGGGGAGU